GCCCGCGCCCCCAACCCCCAACCCCACCCAACGCUUCACCGCCGCUACGGUUUCUCACCCAACCUUCCCCGCCGCCGCUCGCACAGGAGGAACAAGCCCGAGUCUCCAGCGGCCAUGAGCAACGGCAAGGACACCCUUGACCUCUCCACCUUCGGUGCCGCUGUCCCGCUCCUGCUCCCGCGUGUCUGAUCCGGUAACUGUUGUUCCAUGAGUCCUUUGAUGAGGGCUUCGAGGGGAGCUGGAUCGUCUACAGCAAGGAAGAGUGUGCAGGUGUACGGAAGCACGAGAAGAGUGAUAGUCAUGAAGACUAUGAUCUCCUUGAUAGCGAGCCAGCCAGGAUAUAUGCCAUAGUCAAAGAGCUUGAUAGUCCUAUUACUUUGAAGGAUGGGUUGUCCUGUAGUUUGAAGUGAGGCUUCAGAAUGGCCAUACUGUUAUUAGCUUACUCUUCAUGUCUUAAUUUUUUUCUAUGCUCAAUGUAGCUAUAUUAGACGGUUGCUUGUGUAGUUGUAUUCCCGAUGUGAAGUCUAUGGUUUUGUGGCAGUCAUGUGUGCACCACAUAAGCUUAGCUAUGUUAGUUCCGUGAUCAUGAUUGGCUCACUGUCCAUAUCUUGAUGUGAUUUUGUGCUUAAAACAGUUCUCCAGUUAGGCUAAUCUUGAUUU